rnacentral:rRNA from 1 species
ACCAUGGUGGUAACGGGUAACGGGGUGUUAGGGCACGACACCGGAGAGGGAGCCUGAGAAACGGCUACCACAUCCAAGGAUGGCAGCAGGCGCGCAAAUUACCCAAUCCCGACACGGGGAGGUAGUGACAAUAAAUAACAAUACGGGGUUCUUUCGGAUCUCGUAAUUGGAAUGAGUACAAUUUAAAUCUCUUAACGAGGAACAAUUGGAGGGCAAGUCUGGUGCCAGCAGCCGCGGUAAUUCCAGCUCCAAUAGCGUAUAUUAAAGUUGUUGCAGUUAAAAAGCUCGUAGUUGAAUUUCGGGGUUAGUAGGUUGGUCAUGCCUCUGGUAUGUACUGGUCUCACUGAUUCCUCCUUCCUUAUGAACCGUAAUGCCAUUAAUUUGGUGUUGCGGGGAAUUUGGACUGUUACUUUGAAAAAAUUAGAGUGUUUAAAGCAAGCUAACGCUUGAAUACAUUAGCAUGGAAUAAUGAAAUAGGACGUUCGAUCUUAUUUUGUUGGUUUCUAGGAUUGACGUAAUGAUUAAUAGGGAUAGUUGGGGGCAUCAGUAUUCAAUUGUCAGAGGUGAAAUUCUUGGAUUUAUUGAAGACUAACUACUGCGAAAGCAUUUGCCAAGGAUGUUUUCAUUAAUCAAGAACGAAAGUUAGGGGAUCGAAGACGAUCAGAUACCGUCGUAGUCUUAACCAUAAACUAUGCCGACUAGGGAUCGGAUGAUGU